UGAUGGAUCGUAGGCAAGAUGCGAUUGUCCUGUUUUAAUUGGCAUCACAGCAGUCCAUCGCAGUGAGAUGUACAACAUCGAGGUCUCAGAGACGAUUUUCCACUGGAUUACCAAACCAAACCUUCGUGGCACGGUAGCUUGAGGUGUGGUAUCAGAUUAUCGGAUAAUCCGACAUCAAACCUCAUUAUCUAAGUUGUCAGACUAAUAAAGGAAAGAUCUCCAAGUUACCGUGUCAAGGCAAAAAGUACAAGAAUGGCCAUAGCAGCCACUUUAGAUCGAAGUUUGGCCAUUAGCCGUUGGGGAGAAUUUGAGUUAUGCCCAUAGUAACGGCACGUACUCUGUUGCUAUGGCUAUGUACCCGUAUGUUUUGGUUAGAGAAUGCAGUCUAGAACAAUCAUUCAAACCGUUUUACAAUAUUCCAUAUGUUUAUUGGCUCUCCAGACGACGAUGUGACGCACCAGAAAGCAGAAAACUUUCUCGAUGAUGAAGACAGCGGCGACUCAAUUAGUGUAACGUAUAGACAGGAAGUUGACAUGAACGUAUCGAAACAAUCAUCAAUAGCUACAAGAAUUGUAUCAUUCGAAAGCGUAAUUAACAGGCUUUUCAACUGUGUACGUAUUGUAAUUUUUGCAUGUAUAAGGUGGCUACACUUGCGAAUAA